rnacentral:rRNA from 1 species
GUGGGGAAUAUUGCACAAUGGGGGCAACCCUGAUGCAGCGACGCCGCGUGAGUGAAGAAGUAUUUCGGUAUGUAAAGCUCUAUCAGCAGGGAAGAAAACAGACGGUACCUGACUAAGAAGCCCCGGCUAACUACGUGCCAGCAGCCGCGGUAAUACGUAGGGGGCAAGCGUUAUCCGGAAUUACUGGGUGUAAAGGGUGCGUAGGUGGCAUGGUAAGUCAGAAGUGAAAGCCCGGGGCUUAACCCCGGGACUGCUUUUGAAACUGUCAUGCUGGAGUGCAGGAGAGGUAAGCGGAAUUCCUAGUGUAGCGGUGAAAUGCGUAGAUAUUAGGAGGAACACCAGUGGCGAAGGCGGCUUACUGGACUGUCACUGACACUGAUGCACGAAAGCGUGGGGAGCAAACAGGA